AACUUCUGUUACUGUGCCAGUGCCAGCGGCGCCUCUUUUUCCUUCCAUGCUGGCACUAGAGGAAGAACAGCUCCGCGGUGACGUACUAAGCCAGCGACGGCGCCUGUAUCUUAUAGUCGGUUUCCAGGGCUAACCAUAGAUAUAGAAAAAAGGUUAGACUUGAAUACAGUCUUUCUCUAGGUGUCACAUCUACUCUGUUUUUCAGGCAGGUCUCAGAGGGUAACCAUGAAGAUGGAAAAAGGCUUACAUUUGGGGAGGGGAGUCGUUAUACUUCUAUGGGUAUUACACACUAUUUGAAGAUUGAGUAUGAAUGUGGAGUCAUGGUCAUCUGAGCACUCCUCCAGAAGCCCAAGUUCAUAUUCAGUAUUGCCCCUGCAACUUUCAUUUGAACCAGAGUUGGCUGUGGAGACCUUGUCCAAGUGCCUGGAAUCCGUGAGUGGAUGGAUGGGAAGGAACAAGCUGAAGCUAAACCCCGAUAAGACCAAGGUGCUGCUUGUGGGGGACAAAAGGAGGUUGGGAGAUGUUGACUUGAAGUUCAAUGGGGUGAGUCUACCCCUGAAGGACCAGGUCCGCAGCCUUGGGGUUGUACUUGAUUCCAGGCUGUCCAUGGAGGCUCAGAUUUCGGCAGUGAGACGGGCAGCCUGGUAUCAACUACACCUCAUACGAAGGCUGCAACCCUACCUUCCUGUUCAUCAGCUCCCACUGGUAGUACAUGCCCUGGUCACCUCUCGUUUGGAUUACUGUAAUGUGCUCUACGUGGGGUUACCCUUGAAAACGGUCCGGAAAUUACAACUUAUACAAAAUGCGGCGGCUCAACUACUUACGAACAGUCGCCGCUGGGAUCACAUCACACCAGUGUUGUUCGAUCUACACUGGCUUCUAGUUGUUUUCCGAGCCCAAUUCAAGGUGUUGGUAUUAACCUUUAAAUCCCUAAACGGUUUCGGCCCAGUUUAUCUUACGGAGCGCCUUCAAUGCCACCAAUUAUGCCGCCCGACAAGAUCGGCCACGCAGGGCCUUCUCUCAAUCCCGCCAACAAAAUCAGCUAGAUUGGCGGGUACUAGAGAGAGGGCAUUCUCAGUGGCGGCCCCCACCCUCUGGAACUCCCUCCCACAAGAUCUCCGGCACACCUCUUCCCUAAAUGCGUUUCGGAAAGCCUUAAAGACCUGGCUCUUUCAACAGGCCUUUGGGAUCUCCGGGGAGGGUUAAUUGCUAUGAUUGAAAUGCCUCCUGCCCUGUUUUAAUAUUGUUGUUCCAGCUGUAUUGCUUUUAUAUUGUUUUUAUAUUGUAUUACUGUAUUUUAUCAUAUUGUGUUUUAACGAUUUUGUACAUCGCCUAGAGUGGCCAUUGGCCAGAUAGGCGACACAGAAAUUAAAUUUAUUAUUAUUA